CCUACGGGUGGCAGCAGUGGGGAAUAUUGCACAAUGGGGGAAACCCUGAUGCAGCAACGCCGCGUGAAGGAUGACGGUUUUCGGAUUGUAAACUUCUGUUCUUAGUGAAGAAUAUUGCCGGUAGUUACGGAUCCAGCCCCGGCUACCCCCGUGCCAGCAGCCGCGGUAAUAAGUAGGUGGCAAGCGUUAUCCGGAAUUACUGGGUGUAAAGGGAGCGCAGGCGGGAUGCCAAGUCAGCUGUGAAAACUACGGGCUUAACUUGUGGACUGCAGUUGAAACUGGUUUUCUUGAGUGAGGUAGAGGUUGGCGGAAUUCGUGGUGUAGCGGUGAAAUGCGUAGAGAUCAAGAAGAACUCUGAUUGCGAAGGCAGCUUGCUAAACCGCAACUGACAUUGAUGCGCGAAAGUGUGGGUAUCAAACAGGAUUAGAUACCCCUGUAGUC
rnacentral:rRNA from 1 species